GAUGAACGCUGGCGGCGUGCCUAAUACAUGCAAGUCGAGCGAACGGACGAGAAGCUUGCUUUUCUGAUGUUAGCGGCGGACGGGUGAGUAACACGUGGAUAACCUACCUAUAAGACUGGGAUAACUUCGGGAAACCGGAGCUAAUACCGGAUAAUAUUUUGAACCGCAUGGUUCAAAAGUGAAAGACGGUCUUGCUGUCACUUAUAGAUGGAUCCGCGCUGCAUUAGCUAGUUGGUAAGGUAACGGCUUACCAAGGCAACGAUGCAUAGCCGACCUGAGAGGGUGAUCGGCCACACUGGAACUGAGACACGGUCCAGACUCCUACGGGAGGCAGCAGUGGGGAAUCUUCCGCAAUGGGCGAAAGCCUGACGGAGCAACGCCGCGUGAGUGAUGAAGGUCUUCGGAUCGUAAAACGCUGUUAUUAGGGAAGAACAUAUGUGUAAGUAACUGUGCACAUCUUGACGGGACCUAAUCAGAAAGCCACGGCUAACUACGU
rnacentral:rRNA from 1 species